rnacentral:rRNA from 1 species
UACGUAGGGCGCAAGCGUUAUCCGGAAUUAUUGGGCGUAAAGAGCUCGUAGGCGGUUUGUCGCGUCUGCCGUGAAAGUCCGGGGCUCAACUCCGGAUCUGCGGUGGGUACGGGCAGACUAGAGUGAUGUAGGGGAGACUGGAAUUCCUGGUGUAGCGGUGAAAUGCGCAGAUAUCAGGAAGAACACCAAUGGCGAAAGCAGCUCUCUGGGACGGUACUGACCCUGAGACGCGAAAGCGUGGGGAGCGAACAGG